GAUGAACGCUGGCGGCGUGCUUAACACAUGCAAGUCGAACGAUUAAAGCCCCUUCGGGGGUGUAUAGAGUGGCGAACGGGUGAGUAACACGUGGGCAACCUGCCCUUUUCAUCGGGAUAACUCGGAGAAAUCCAAGCUAAUACCGGAUACUCCUUUCCUGCGGCAUCGUGGGAUCGGGAAAGCUUUUGCGGAAAAAGGAUGGGCCCGCGGUCUAUUAGCUAGUUGGUGAGGUAACGGCCCACCAAGGCUACGAUAGAUAGCCGGGUUGAGAGACCGACCGGCCACAUUGGGACUGAGACACGGCCCAGACUCCUACGGGAGGCAGCAGUGGGGAAUUUGCGCAAUGGGGGAAACCCUGACGCAGCAACGCCGCGUGCGGGAUGAAGGCCUUCGGGUUGUAACCGCUUUCAGUAGGGAAGAAAAUAGACGGUACCUACAGAAGAAGCUCCGGCUAACUACGUGCCAGCAGCGCGUAAAAUCACGUGUA
rnacentral:rRNA from 1 species